rnacentral:rRNA from 1 species
CGGAGAGGGAGCCUGAGAGACGGCUACCACAUCUAAGGAAGGCAGCAGGCGCGCAAAUUACCCAAUCCUAACUCAGGGAGGUAGUGACAAGAAAUAACAACGCGGGGCUUUGUCUUGCGAUUGGAAUGAGUUAAGUGUAAAAGCCUUUUCGAGGACCCACUGGAGGGCAAGUCUGGUGCCAGCAGCCGCGGUAAUCCCAGCUCCAAUAGCGUAUAUUAAAGUUGUUGCAGUUAAAAAGCUCGUAGUUGAAGCUCUGCGGGGCGGGUCGCUGGGCCUCGGUCUGGUGACCUUCCUCGCAUCCAUCUGAGCAACGGCUCCGGCAUUAACUUGUCGCUGUCGUGAUCAGGUACUUUACCUUGAGCAAAUGAGAGUGUUCCAGGCAGGCUUGGGCCUGAAUCGUCCAGCAUGGAAUAAUAGAAGAGGACUGGGCUCCAUUUAUUGGUGUUAUGGCGCUUAGUAAUGAUUAAUAGGGAUAGUUGGGGGCAUUUGUAUUUAAUUGUCAGAGGUGAAAUUCUAUGAUUUAUUAAAGACAAACUUAUGCGAAAGCAUUUGCCAAGGAUGAUUUC